GUCCCUUUAACACAUUCUGUUGACUCUAAUGUUGCACCGACAUGUAUACUAACUCUCAUUAGAGUAUUAGUAGAGUAUUAGUAGACUGGUAGGGUUAGGGAUAGUAGAAUAAGUUGACAUGUACUACAUGUGAAGUUACAUGAAGAAUGUCUGUUGGGAGACAUCAUAAUAAAGAGUUAGCAGUUAUUAACCAGAGAAGAGUCUACUAAAGAGUAAGUUAACAUAAGGUGCAACGUUACAAGGCCUCGUUUACACUGCAAAGUUAAAUGUGACCCAAUUCCAUUUUUUUUUGCUCAUAUGUGACAGAUCGGAUCUGUUCUACAGUGUGAACGGGAAAAAAACGCAUGCAUUUGGAUAUUUCGCGAUCGGUUUCAGGCCUCAUUCAUAUGUGGAAAUAAAUCGUAUAUAAAUCAGAUAUGUGCUAAUGCGAAUGUCGUGUAAACAGGCAGAUCGGAUUUUCUG
ensembl:lncRNA